rnacentral:rRNA from 1 species
AGGUGCAAUUCUAUAAUCAUUAAUGCUUGGAUCCCAUUAGAACUCUAAACUUAAACACAUUUUGGAUAGAAUAGUACUAGGAUGGGUUAACUCCUAGGAAGUAUAGUGUUGCACCCU